GUGCUCGCUUCGGCAGCACAUAUACUAAAAUUUGAGUGAUAUGGCCCCUGCGCAAGGAUGACGGCCAAAUUUGUGAAGCGUUCCACAUUUUG
rnacentral:snRNA from 1 species